GAUGAACGCUGGCGGCGUGCCUAAUACAUGCAAGUCGAGCGAACAGACGAGGAGCUUGCUCCUCUGACGUUAGCGGCGGACGGGUGAGUAACACGUGGAUAACCUACCUAUAAGACUGGGAUAACUUCGGGAAACCGGAGCUAAUACCGGAUAAUAUAUUGAACCGCAUGGUUCAAUAGUGAAAGACGGUUUUGCUGUCACUUAUAGAUGGAUCCGCGCCGCAUUAGCUAGUUGGUAAGGUAACGGCUUACCAAGGCAACGAUGCGUAGCCGACCUGAGAGAGUGGUCGGCCACACUGGAACUGAGACACGGUCCAGACUCCUACGGGAGGCAGCAGUAGGGAAUCUUCCGCAAUGGGCGAAAGCCUGACGGAGCAACGCCGCGUGAGUGAUGAAGGUCUUCGGAUCGUAAAACUCUGUUAUGAGGGAAGAACAAAUGUGUAAGUAACUAUGCACGUCUUGACGGUACCUAAUCAGAAAGCCACGGCUAACUACGUG
rnacentral:rRNA from 1 species